rnacentral:lncRNA from 1 species
AACUACUCUGCUUACCUUCAAGUCAGCCUGGCGCUGAGCCUGUGGCCAGGUCGGAGAGAAGCAGAGACCUUGCUCCCCUAAAACUGUGGGGAUAGCCCUGGGGCCAGAUGAUUUCCAAAGAGACAGAGACAUCAAACCCACUGGCUAAACCAGCAUGUACGGGGCUUAUCCGAAAGAGGUUAGGAGAUGAUUUCUUUAACUUCAGUGUUACAGAACGCAGUUCUUGGUCAGAUGCAAUGCUAUUUAUCACUAAUGAAGAUUUAUCCACACGGAGUCAGUCCAGAGUUGCGACUGUUCCUGGAAAGGGCUUGAAGAGACUCAACAGAACUGAGAGGCCUGUGUGCAUCCUUAGGCAGAAAUGAAAAUUGUGAGAAGAUUGCUCAGAACAAUACUUGUUGAUGCAGUGUGAAAAUGUGGUUUCAUACUAAAAGUCACUCUCCAAAAUAAAAAAGCAAAAACAAAAAACCCACAAAAUUAAUUUUUCUAACAUUUCUUUUAACACAUCUCUCUAGGUUUUGAGGGUAUCGGGUUGACUAUGAGUCUUGAAUUAACUGUUAUGGUCCUGUUUAAAGUUGGACAUAUUAUACGUACAGAGGUUAACAAACCAUAUUGAACUGGAUUGAAUCCAGCAUUUUUGCAUUAAUUUCUGCUAAAGAAUUUGUAUAAACAAAAUUACCAGAAAAAAACUAGGCCUUCACUGAUGUAAAACUCCCUAACUGAACCCGUGGCACCCUCUUGUGGCAGGACUGGGCCUUAUAUGUGCAACUGUCACGAAACAGAAGGCAGGGGAUGGGGUUUCUAUCAUCCAGCCCCCUCAAAUAAAGCAGCUGCAAAAAAUAUCCUGCAAUUCACUAAACAUAAUUGAUUUCCAUUUCUAUGGACACAAAACCCUUGCCUUACUGAAAGUUUUUUACAACUUAUGGAGUUGUAAAAUAGCUCAUGGGCAAAAAAUAGGUACAGGCCCC